UGGGGAAUUGUUCGCAAUGGGCGCAAGCCUGACGACGCAACGCCGCGUGGAGGAUGAAGAUCUUCGGAUCGUAAACUCCUGUCGAGCGGGACGAACGGCUCGGGACCUAACACGUCCCGGGAGUGACGGUACCGCUAAAGGAAGCCCCGGCUAACUCCGUGCCAGCAGCCGCGGUAAUACGGGGGGGGCCAGCGUUGUUCGGAAUUACUGGGCGUAAAGGGCGCGUAGGCGGCCUUCUCAGUCAGACGUGAAAUCCCUCGGCUCAACCGGGGAACUGCGUCUGAUACUGGAGGGCUCGAAUCCGGGAGAGGGAUGCGGAAUUCCAGGUGUAGCGGUGAAAUGCGUAGAUAUCUGGAGGAACACCGGUGGCGAAGGCGGCAUCCUGGACCGGCAUUGACGCUGAGGCGCGAAAGCCAGGGGAGCAAACGGGAUUAGAUACCCCGGUAGUCCUGGCCCUAAACGAUGAAUGCUUGGUGUGGUGGGUAUCGAUCCCUGCCGUGCCGGAGCUAACGCGUUAAGCAUUCCGCCUGGGGAGUACGGUCCGGCAAGGCUG
rnacentral:rRNA from 1 species